rnacentral:lncRNA from 1 species
AUUAUGCUAAGUUGUAUAGAUGUACAGUGAAAGUUAAACUUAGCAACAGUUUGAUGUAUAGAUUGUGACUUGAUUGAAUAUGCUUGCAACUAAAGAAUUCGCGGAUAAUAGUUAAGCAAGCAAUUUAUCUAAGUGAGUAAGUGUGUAAGUUAGACAAUGACAAGAAGCAUUACAAACACAACAAGCAUAUAGUGGUUCGGUGCACCCCAGCACCUACAUCCACUCCCCAAGA